rnacentral:rRNA from 1 species
AGAGUUCUCUUUUCUUUUUAACAGACCGUUAGACCUUGGAAUCGGAUUGACCGGCGAUAAGGUUUAACGACUGGCAAAGCAGUGUUUUUUUGCACUGUCCGGUGCGCUUUCGACGGCCCUUGAAAAUCCAGUGGAGUGACUUAUUCGCACGUCUGGUCGUACUCAUAACCGCCUCAGGUCUCCAAGGUGUGCAGCCUCUAGUCGAUAGAACAAUGUAG